CUCAACCAUCCAGCUACACACAGACUGUCAACACUCUCAACAGAGAGAGAGAGAAAAAGGAAGUUGUCAUGAAAAUACUUAUCAUCUGGCAUUUCAGAUCUCCUCCAUCUCCACGGCCCCAUUUUCUAAUGGAGUGCUAUUGUUAUGCACCCGUCUGUUUCAAGAUGGUGAGACUGUCAUCUGUCUUCUCCAGACCUGAAAGGGAAACUCCGCCACACAUAAAAACCGAGGUUACUUCUACAACUAAAUCCUCCAGAUUCUAGCAGUCAGUAUGGCAAAGCACUUCAGUGUGUUGUUUGUUGUUCUGGUGGGAAUGGGCGUCUGUAAAUCUCCAAGACAAUUGACAGGAAAUGGCUUGCAGUGGAGCUAUCGUGAUCCAAUAAGAAACUCAGUGCUUCUCCUGGGUAUUGUGCUCAUGAAUCGAAGAAGGGAAGAAAGACAGGUGCACUUGUAAAAAUCAGCAAGAGCGUCCCAUGAGAUUUGCCACUGGCACCCUUUGCCUCCUAGUGUUGGUGUCCUUCCAAGCCGCAGAAGAAUUAUUCAUGAAAAUGUUCAUUCACAUUCGUCAGAAAUGAGGAGGCACAGGUUAAAUUCAUUUUCAUUCUUUUACAGACUCAGUUUGUGACAUGUAAUCGAUAAAGAUGCAUUGAGUGUCAUAUGACAUGAUUGCCACCCUCAUUUUACAUGAUCGCAUUCAGAGCCAGAGGGCAUAAGAGUGAAGCAGCCAGAGAUGCAUUUAAAUUAAGAAUAUGUUCUCAGGAUCUAUAGUAGGCAUUGAGAUCGUUCUCUUGCUUAUGGGCUGGUCAGGCUAAAAAAGUAGUUUUCCAGAAUAAAAAAAUCAAUGCCAUCCACUGAUGCUCAUCACCUGUUGUGGAUCAUGAGUGUGGAUGGAAUUAUUUAUUCAUGUGGAAGUUGAUAAAUUAUU